CCUCCCUCAAAGGAAAGGCGGGGAACACCCUGUCGGUUCCUGCUUCUGGCUUUGUGACAAGACCACAGUAGGAAACAAAUUAGCAGCCUCCACCUACAAAAGACGAUGACAGGAGCCAGUCACAUAUCCAGCUAUGGAGGAAGAAGACUGGGCAUUCAUAAGCCAGAAGAGGGCACCAGACUUCAUUACAGAUGAUUGUGAGCCACCAUGUUUUGCCGGGAAUUGAACUCAGGACUUUUGGAAGAGCAGGCAAUGCUCUUAACCACUGAGCCAUCUCUCCAGCCCCAAGACAAAGUCUUCUUAAGUAACCUAGGCUGGCUUUAAAUUUGCAAGUUUUCCUGCUUCUGCUUCCCGGGUGCUGGGAUUAGAAAUUGUGCCACCCUGCCUGCAUUCUGAAUUAAGGUGUUUGAUUUCUACCAAAGGGGUUGUGUGGAACUUUCUGAAGUGAUGGUAGAAUGUUAGCAUUUAACUGUGGUGGUGUUUCAG